rnacentral:rRNA from 1 species
GAUGAACGCUGGCGGCGUGCCUAAUACAUGCAAGUCGAGCGAACGGACGAGAAGCUUGCUUCUCUGAUGUUAGCGGCGGACGGGUGAGUAACACGUGGAUAACCUACCUAUAAGACUGGGAUAACUUCGGGAAACCGGAGCUAAUACCGGAUAAUAUUUUGAACCGCAUGGUUCAAAAGUGAAAGACGGUCUUGCUGUCACUUAUAGAUGGAUCCGCGCUGCAUUAGCUAGUUGGUAAGGUAACGGCUUACCAAGGCAACGAUGCAUAGCCGACCUGAGAGGGUGAUCGGCCACACUGGAACUGAGACACGGUCCAGACUCCUACGGGAGGCAGCAGUAGGGAAUCUUCCGCAAUGGGCGAAAGCCUGACGGAGCAACGCCGCGUGAGUGAUGAAGGUCUUCGGAUCGUAAAACUCUGUGAUUAGGGAAGAACAAAUGUGUAAGUAACUAUGCACAUCUUGACGGUACCUAAUCAGAAAGCCACGGCUAACUACGUG